AACGUAGGUCCCGAGCGUUAUCCGGAUUUACUGGGCGUAAAGCGCGUGCAGGCGGCUCCGCAAGUCGGGCAUGAAAUCUCUCGGCUCAACCGAGAGAGGCUGUCCGAUACUGCGGGGCUUGAGGACGGAAGAGGCGGGUGGAAUUCCGCAUGUAGUGGUGAAAUGCGUAGAGAUGCGGAGGAACACCAGUGGCGAAAGCGGCCCGCUGGCCCGCUCCUGACGCUCAGACGCGAAAGCUCGGGGAGCGAACGGG
rnacentral:rRNA from 1 species